GAUGAACGCUGGCGGCGUGCCUAAUACAUGCAAGUCGAGCGAACGGACGAGAAGCUUGCUUCUCUGAUGUUAGCGGCGGACGGGUGAGUAACACGUGGAUAACCUACCUAUAAGACUGGGAUAACUUCGGGAAACCGGAGCUAAUACCGGAUAAUAUUUUGAACCGCAUGGUUCAAAAGUGAAAGACGGUCUUGCUGUCACUUAUAGAUGGAUCCGCGCUGCAUUAGCUAGUUGGUAAGGUAACGGCUUACCAAGGCAACGAUGCAUAGCCGACCUGAGAGGGUGAUCGGCCACACUGGAACGGAGACGCGGUCCGGACUCCUACGGGAGGCAGCAGAAGGGAAUCUUACGCAAUGGGCGGAAGCCUGACGGAGCAACGCCGCGUGAGUGAUGAAGGUCUUCGGAUCGUAAAACUCUGUUAUUAGUGAAGAACAUAUGUGUAAGUAACUGUGCACAUCUUGACGGUACCUAAUCAGAAAGCCCCGGCUAACUACGUG
rnacentral:rRNA from 1 species